GUCUGGUUAAUUCCGAUAACGAACGAGACUCCGGCAUGCUAACUAGUUAUGCGGCCCCGAGUGGUCUGCAGUCAACUUCUUAGAGGGACAAGUGGCUCUCAGCCACACGAGAUUGAGCAAUAACAGGUCUGUGAUGCCCUUAGAUGUCCGGGGCUGCACGCGCGCCACACUGAGCGGAUCAGCGUGUGUCUACCCUUCGCCGAGAGGCGUGGGUAACCCGAUGAACCCCACUCGUGAUAGGGAUUGGGGAUUGCAAUUCUUUCCCAUGAACGAGGAAUUCCCAGUAAGC
rnacentral:rRNA from 1 species